rnacentral:rRNA from 1 species
GCUGGCGGCGCGCCUAACACAUGAAAAGGGCAGCGAGAGAGAGCUUGCUUUCUCGAGCGAGUGGCGAACGGGUGAGUAACGCGUGAGGAACCUGCCUCAAAGAGGGGGACAACAGUUGGAAACGACUGCUAAUACCGCAUAAGCCCACGACCCGGCAUCGGGUAGAGGGAAAAGGAGCAAUCCGCUUUGAGAUGGCCUCGCGUCCGAUUAGCUAGUUGGUGAGGUAACGGCCCACCAAGGCGACGAUCGGUAGCCGGACUGAGAGGUUGAACGGCCACAUUGGGACUGAGACACGGCCCAGACUCCUACGGGAGGCAGCAGUGGGGAAUAUUGCACAAUGGGGGAAACCCUGAUGCAGCGACGCCGCGUGGAGGAAGAAGGUUUUCGGAUUGUAAACUCCUGUUGUUGAGGAAGAUAAUAACGGUACUCAACAAGGAAGUGACGGCUAACUACGUGCCAGCAGCCGCGGUAAAACGUAGGUCACAAGCGUUGUCCGGAAUUACUGGGUGUAAAGGGAGCGCAGGCGGGAAGACAAGUUGGAAGUGAAAUCCAUGGGCUCAACCCAUGAACUGCUUUCAAAACUGUUUUUCUUGAGUAGUGCAGAGGUAGGCGGAAUUCCCGGUGUAGCGGUGGAAUGCGUAGAUAUCGGGAGGAACACCAGUGGCGAAGGCGGCCUACUGGGCACCAACUGACGCUGAGGCUCGAAAGUGUGGGUAGCAAACAGGAUUAGAUACCCUGGUAGUCCACACUGUA